rnacentral:rRNA from 1 species
AUUGAACGCUGGCGGCAUGCCUAACACAUGCAAGUCGAACGAGUGGCGGACGGGUGAGUAAUAUCUGGGAAACUGCCUGAUGGAGGGGGAUAACUACUGGAAAGGGUAGCUCAUACCGCAUACCAUUAGAGGGGCCCAUAUGGGAUUAGCUUGUUGGUGGGGUAACGGGUCACCAAGGCGACGAUCCCUCGCUGGUCUGAGAGGAUGACCAGCCACACUGGAACUGAGACACGGUCCAGCCUCCUACGGGAGGCAGCAGUGGGGAAUUUUGCACAAUGGGCGAAACCCUGAUGCAGCCAUCCCGCGUGUAUGAAGAAGGCCUUCGGGUUGUAAAGUACUUUCAGCAGGGAGGCGUUACCCGCAGAAGAAGCACCGGCUAACUCCGUGCCAGCCGCCGCGGUAAUUC